CUAGCUGCUGUUGAAGUUCCAUCUACCAAUGGAUAAGACUUCUGUCUUAAUGUAUUAAGAAUGCUUUAAAGGGGCUAUACCCCAUACAUAUCUUCUUUUAGGAAGAUAUGUAUGGGGUAUAGCCCUAUCCCCUUUCUUUGAAUGAUUUAUUCUAUUCUUUUUUUGAUUCAACGACUUAACGACGAGAUUUAUUAUCGUUUCUCGCAUGUCUCGCGAAAGUCAGAGUAGGCGCGAAUUCUCCCAAUUUGUGACCUACCAUACGAUCUGUUAUAUAAAUAGGUAAAUGUUCUUUUCCAUUAUGAAUAGCGAUUGUAUGGCCAAUCAUUGUGGGUAUAAUGGUAGAUGCCCGAGACCAAGUUACUAUUAUUUCUUUCUCCUCCCUCAUGUUGAGUUUUUCAAUUUUUCCCGAUAAAUUCUUAGCUACAAAAGGGUUUUUUUUUAGUGAACGUGUCACAGCUGAUUAGAUUACUCCUUUUUUUUACAUUUUAAAGAUUGGCAUUCUACGUCUAAUAGAAUAUCUCGAUCUAAGUAUGAAGGUAAGAAUAAAUACAAUAAUGAUGAAUAUACAAUAAUGAUGAAUGGAAAAAAGAGAAAAUCCUUUAGCUAGAUAAGGGGCGGAUGUAGCCAAGUGGAUCAAGGCAGUGGAUUGU
rnacentral:misc_RNA from 1 species